rnacentral:snRNA from 1 species
GUGCUCACUUCAGGAGCACAUAUACUAAAAAUUGGAACAAUACAGACAAGAUUAGCAUGGCCCCUGCACAAGGAUGACAUGCUAAUUCGUGAAGCAUUCCAUAUGUUC